CGCACGCGUGCGCACCGGAAGAGCGCCGCAGCAGCAGCAUCAACAACAUUCUGGAGUGAAAUGGCGUAACGCGACAUCCACCGCCGCAGCGCAAUGGGGCCAGGCUCAACGAGUGUCCGAGCCUGGCCCGCCGUACUCCCGUCAAUAAGAAAGCUGAUAAAGCCUUUGGGACACCGUUACAGUUUUCUUUCUUCCAGGCCCGCACCAGAUGAGGGGAAACAGUAGUACCCCUCCUAUUCCAUAUCAAGAAGUCAAAGAGUCACAACAUGUUUAAUCUGAACAUAAGAACAUGAAGAACUCAUGACCAGAUAAGAGACCAUGCUGUCGUGGUUCUUUAAACGACCUUCUAUCCAUCCUGAUUCUCUGCCCUUCCUCCAGCAUUAUGUCAGGGAAGUGUUCAGUCAACACACCAAAUGUCAUUGGUCUAUGAACAUAUAAUAUCUGCACUUUGAAGAAGACCGCUAUUAACGGGAGAAUCUAAAGAAAACGUGUCCAAACAAGUCCAUAAUUGUGCCACAGUCUGCACCAGAGCAAUUAUCUGGUCAUUUUUGGUAUUAGACAAAUGCAUAUUAAUCUAAUAAAGUAUUUAUAUGGUUGCAGGUUGUGUUAGCAGGAAGUGAAAAUGGAGUUAGGGACAGAGAAUAUAUAGAGUGCACUUGCUUUGCAGGUACAAUGUUUGUAUGUUAAAAAGCCAAAUCAUGCACGCAACCUGCAUUUCAGCUAAAGUAGCUUCAACCAACUCUUUUAGUACCUGCAGAUUAAGUGCCUAGACAUUGUUGUGUCUCGAGAGUCUAUUGCUAUGUCUUUGCACUAACCCUACAGGAAGCACUGCUUGGUCAUUUUGUCUUUGAAAUCGACAGUAAACUGUAGACAAAUAGCUGUUCUCCUAAUUCAGAACUCAUAAUGGUGCUUCAGCAAAAUCAUGAACCAUAGUUUCAUGUACUUUAUGAACUUUUCAUGUACUGACAAACCAAGACAGACAGGCUCGCUGACAUAACACAAGCAUACUUUAUAAAAUCCUCCAUUUACCUUUCUAUUGGGGGUGAGAUUUUAGUGAGAUGCGAGAGAUGAUGAAAUAAAGAUAUUUAACUACCUCAGAUGAGUAAAGUUACCACAGCUCAGAUCCACACAGCAAGCAAACUAAUAUUCAGAAAGUUCACAUGUUUUUCUAGCUGUAUUACAUAAAAAUACCAGUUCUUGUCUGUCAAAUGGUUUGGUAAUCUGAUGCCCAUAGACCUUAUUCAAGCAAGCGCCAUCUUUGAUUUUUAAUGGGAAUGACAACGAGGCUGUAAGGGAUAGACUCACAGUCUCUUCAAUGGCACGAAUGGUAUAAAGCUGUAUAAAGCUCCUAGAUCAGAUUUUCCACAACUAAUGUUGUCUGGAGUUCUUUGUAUACUGAAUGUUCUUGGACAGAUAUUUUGUCAAUGUUUUGUCCAUGGAACGAUCCAAAAACACUUUAAACUGCUGUACAGCCCACUGAAAAGACUGUAGGGCUUUCCCGCACAGCCUCGUUGUCAUUCCCAUUAAAAAUCAAAGAUGGCGCUAGCGUGAAUAAGGUCUAUGUGUGUUCAAGAGGAGUGAGUUUUUUUUAUUUUUUUAUUUGUAAUUUAUUUUUUGUGUUAAUGGUUGUGGGAAUACAUAUCACACUUAACAGCAUAGAUACCUUAUUGAUCACUGGUUGAAUAUGUGUCCUGGGUUACAGUGAGUUUAUCAUCCUCUGUGAAUAACAUAAGGCCUGAUGAAAGGCUGUUGAACAAUUAGAUUGUGUUACAAUAAAGAUGCACGUCUUAAAUCAGACACCUUAAAAAGAAUAAGGGGCUGUUCAAACUGAUUAAGCUGUUUUUCUGUGUAAAACAAAGAAGGAUGUCUGUGACAGGAGUGCCAUGUUUUUAGAUGCCAUGACAAGUCAAAAAGAACAUCAAUUUUCAUCUUGAGACACCUACGUUCUGUUCUAUUUGUUGCAUUGCAUCUAGCUUUUUUGCGGGAGAACGUGUUCAGUCUAAAAAGCCCCUAAAAUGGUCUUUGGGUAUCUGACACAGAUUAGAUUGUGCCUGGGCUACAGUGCACUGUGAAACAUAAUUCUGCACUGAAAGACAUUUAAGCCCAGGACAUGAUUUGAUCUGUGCUGUAAAAAUGCACCCUAGUUAAUAUUUAGUUGUACAGUUGCUUCUAUCAAUGGAAUGAUUGGACUGCUAGAAAUAAGAGUGUUACGUACCCCAUUAUAUGAGAUGACUCUGUGAGCGAUUUUUCAUAGGCAAAAAAGUAGUCAGGCCUCUGUGUGGAAAUUGUGCAAUAUUCAUUUCUUUCCUUCUUGUUUUGAGAUAAAUAUGUAUAUUGCACCAACAAGUGACAAGUUGUUCGCAAAAACAACAAAAUCACCAAUGUCUUCCAUUAAAUGAUGUAUAGUUUCAUCCGCUUGCUUUAGGGUGACGGGAUUUGUAGUGCCAGCAUUAAACAUGGCCAUGCAUGUAUGGUAGCGAUGCUUGCUGAAUUUAAUAGUCGUAGUGACAUUCAAUAUAUGCUAUAAGCUGUUUAGAAAACAAAUAAAGUAAGACAAAGAUUUAGUUAGUAUCCACCAUGGAUGCAGCAUCCAUACCUGAUCGAUUUGAUUAAGAGGCAAGUCA